rnacentral:rRNA from 1 species
CAGUCGAACGGAGCUUAAAGAGCUUGCUUUUUAAGCUUAGUGGCGAACGGGUGAGUUACGCGUGAGUAACCUGCCCUAGAGAGGGGGACAACAGUUGGAAACGACUGCUAAUACCGCAUAAGCCCACGGCUCGGCAUCGAGCAGAGGGAAAAGGAGCAAUCCGCUUUGAGAUGGCCUCGCGUCCGAUUAGCUAGUUGGUGAGGUAACGGCCCACCAAGGCGACGAUCGGUAGCCGGACUGAGAGGUUGAACGGCCACAUUGGGACUGAGACACGGCCCAGACUCCUACGGGAGGCAGCAGUGGGGAAUAUUGCACAAUGGGGGAAACCCUGAUGCAGCGACGCCGCGUGGAGGAAGAAGGUCUUCGGAUUGUAAACUCCUGUUGUUGAGGAAGAUAAUGACGGUACUCAACAAGGAAGUGACGGCUAACUACGUGCCAGCAGCCGCGGUAAAACGUAGGUCACAAGCGUUGUCCGGAAUUACUGGGUGUAAAGGGAGCGCAGGCGGGAGAACAAGUUGGAAGUGAAAUCCAUGGGCUCAACCCAUGAACUGCUUUCAAAACUGUUUUUCUUGAGUAGUGCAGAGGUAGGCGGAAUUCCCGGUGUAGCGGUGGAAUGCGUAGAUAUCGGGAGGAACACCAGUGGCGAAGGCGGCCUACUGGGCACCAACUGACGCUGAGGCUCGAAAGUGUGGGUAGCAAACAGGAUUAGAUACCCUGGUAGUCCACACCGUAAACGAUGAUUACUAGGUGUUGGAGGAUUGACCCCUUCAGUGCCGCAGUUAACACAAUAAGUAAUCCACCUGGGGAGUACGACCGCAAG